rnacentral:rRNA from 1 species
UACAGAGGGUGCAAGCGUUAAUCGGAAUUACUGGGCGUAAAGCGCGCGUAGGCGGUUGCGUAAGUUGGAGGUGAAAUCCCCGGGCUCAACCUGGGAAUUGCCUUCAAAACUGCGUGGCUAGAGUGUGGGAGAGGAAGGUAGAAUUCCAGGUGUAGCGGUGAAAUGCGUAGAGAUCUGGAGGAAUACCGAUGGCGAAGGCAGCCUUCUGGCCUAACACUGACGCUGAGGUG